rnacentral:rRNA from 1 species
UACGGAGGGUGCAAGCAUUAAUCGGAAUUACUGGGCGUAAAGCGUGCGCAGGCGGUGAUGUAAGACAGAUGUGAAAUCCCCGGGCUCAACCUGGGAACUGCAUUUGUGACUGCAUCGCUGGAGUGCGGCAGAGGGGGAUGGAAUUCCGCGUGUAGCAGUGAAAUGCGUAGAUAUGCGGAGGAACACCGAUGGCGAAGGCAAUCCCCUGGGCCUGCACUGACGCUCAUGCACGAAAGCGUGGGGAGCAAACAGG